AGAUUACAUUGAUUAAUUGUUUUCGUCUGGACACAAUUACGAUUGAACUUUAAUCUCACCAUAAAAAGAAAACAAUAAAUUGGUAACCAUUGACUUCGCCGGUCACAUGGAAUCUCUGCCAUUGGUCAAUUUUUUUCUUCUCCAAUCAAAGAAAAGGGGAAAAGUAUUUAUGGUAAACAAAAGAACCAAAAAUCAAAGAGUUGAUAUGAAAAAGAAAAAACUAAUUAAGGUUAAUUUGUUUAUUUCUAAUUCUUAAUUAUUCUUUCUAAUUGAACUUUUUGUUAUAAAUUGUGAUUAUUUCCAUGUACAAGUCAAAUUAAUGUUCAUCUCGACGAUUAAAAUGUUAUCUUAUGUAAUCAACGAGAAACAAAUUACUCUUGAAAAAAAAGUGAUUACUCUUUUGCUGCCAUUUUGUUUCUUGGUAAUAUUUAUACGUUUAGAUGGAUUAGCUUAAUAAAACAUGAUUAUUGUUUGUUAAGUGAACAAUUUGAUUAAUUCCUCUCAUAUUGAUCUACAUCAAUCAUCAUCAUAACAAGAAGAGUUUUUUUAUCGGUCAACAUUUUCUGAUUCUGAGUGGAGCUAAACAAAGAUAACAAGAGCGCUGGGCCAUCAUUACCAACUCUCUAUCAUCAUCGCCAUCUUUUUUUCUGUACUUCUAUCAUGUUCCAGUAAUGAAAAAGGUUAAGCCACCCUCAUCAAGCAAAUGAAUCUUCAUCAUUAUCUUGAAACAUCAACAUGGAGUUGAAAGUAGAAACAAAAAGGAGCAAAUUAUAAAAAAAGGGAACCACACCAAGAAGAGAGUCUAAUCCAACAUGAAGUUUACCAGAUAAAAUCAUUCAAAGACUUGCUAUAUCAUCUAUACCAUCUCAUUGUCUAUUUUGUGAGUGGUGUGUGUAUAUGCUAUUAUUAAGGAGCAUCAUUCAUUUCAUUCAUUCAUCAUCAUACUAUAAUCAUAAUUAUCUUCAUCCUUUCCUGACCGGAUUAUACUGGAAACCUCAUUGCGGUAACAAAAUGAUGGAAGUGAAAAACAAAGAAAGGAGAGCUAAAGAAUAAUAAGAGAGAGAGAGAGAGAUAAAUCUUGAGAAAACUUCUCUAACCUUUUUCUCUCCACCAACAUAAUAACACAGUUUCCGCCCUUUCUCAAUGGUGUAAGAUGACCGAUUGAUGAACUAAUGAGAAGGAGGGGAAAAAAUGAGCAUCUUAAGGAGAAAGAGAGAAAACUCAUCACUGUCUUGAUUUUCUUUUAUUGCCACUUCUGAUCAGGAAAUAGUCAUAAAAAGUCUUCUCAAGGUCAUCAUUUUUCAUCUUCCAUCAUCUGUUUCAUCUCAUUAUCAUCACCAUAGUAAAUGAUAUAUAUCAUGUUACCCGCAUCACAAUUAUCGUUUUGAAAAUAGUUCAACAGAACCAAUAGAAAAAUAAUAUCAAUAAUCUAACAAUCAGACAAAAAAAAAUGAUGAAGAUAAAAUCAUCGUUGCAUCUUCUCAUUCAUCUUGAUAACUUUUAAUUAUGAUGCUUGUAAUAUUUGAAAUAACCAACUAAUGAUAAUAAUCUACUUUAAUAUUAAUUUGAAAUCACAAUGAUUAAUCAACUGAAUGAAUGAGAAUAAGAAUCAACGGAAAUGUUAAUUUCUAACCGAUUCUUUUCCAAUUCAUCAAACUGAUUUCAACGAUCAAAUGAAGUUACGAUUGUUAAAAAGAAGAGAAGAAAAAAAAAGUAAUUUCUUCACUUCCUUUUCCUAUUUAAUGUUUCUCCAUCUUAAUAUAUCUCCACCUCCACCAUUCACCAUGAUGAUAAUGAUACACAAAAUUCAUCUUCUUGAAAAGGUUGGUCAAAAUGAUAAUCGUUAUGAUGAUGAUUAGUAUUGAAUUAAUUUCGAAUCACCAUCUUUCCGGAAUAAUCAUAAUAAAUCACAUCCGUUCCAAGGUUAAUCAACAAUUUAAUCUCCUUGAGAGUUAACAACGAGUUAACAACGAGUAAAAAAGUUUGUGAAAAUUAUGGUUUACUUUUUGUUUCGUUAAUAUGGUUCAUAAGAUUAUCACCAAUUUCAUUGAUUGAUUUAAUCUCUCAUUCAAUUUGAUUAUAAAUUUCUAAUGGAAACAAUUAGAUUUACUUUUCCCCCCUAAUUGUUGUAUUUGAGAUUUAUGAUUAUUAUUGAUUGUUCAGUUUUCCUCUCCUGGUUAAAACUUUUACAAUCUAAUAAAUUGUUAAGUGUUAAAAGGCGACUGUGAUAAUAAUCUUGUUAAAUCAACUAUUAAAUCAAAAUCAGUCAAAUAAAUUGUGAUUAGUUAAGCUGAUUACAUGAUAAGAAGAAUUAGUGAAACAAAAAAAAAGAGAUGAAUGAAUGAAAUAGGAAAUAAAUCAUUUCUUAUCAAUAAGUUAAUGAUUGAUCUGAUUACUUGCACUGUGGACAAUGUGUAACAAUCUUGUUAAUAUAUUAGUUUAAUUAGUUGGAAGACAAAAGGUCAAUUCAAUUAGUUAAUUGUGAUCCAUCACAAUUAAUGGUUUCCUUUGUUAUUUAUAUAUUAUGAACAAUGAAGCUCAUCCAACUGUGAUGGAAAGGAAGCUAUUAGGUGAUGAGGAUGAUGAUCUAUUAAACGGAAGAAGAAAAGAAAGAAUCAGAUAUUCGAUGAAAUUUCAAGAAAAAGAGAUUAAAUCAUUGAAGAAUGAAAAUUUCUAUUGAGUGUCCAACGUAAGAAAUGAUAAUAAUCUGGUUGGAUUAACAGAAGACCAAUUGAAUCCAUAAUAAAAUGCUUCUAUUCAGUAAUCCGUUGAUAAUUUAUAAGAAAUUUAAUGUACCUGUAAUAAUGAUGAUAGAAAAAGAAAAUGUAUUAGAUUAAUUAACUUUAAAUUGU